ACCAAAGUAAAGUAAGUUUAUAUCUAAACUUAUUACUAGAUGUUGCUGCUACUCUACUAUUAAUACUAAAUUGAACUAAAAUGACAGAUGUGAUGUACUAGUUGCUUGGAGCCUAGCAUAACGCAGCUCUUCCUAGUCAGAGCUGCAGGUGUUGGGUUAACCUUAACAGCUGCAAGUGCCGUGAUAUUUGCGGAGCUGUCAUGGACUCCAGGGGACAUUAUUCAAGCUGAAGAUCGUGCUCAUAGGAUUGGGCAGGUGAUCAGGAGAAAGUAUAUGCAGUAUUAAGUAAAGAUCAGAAAGUAAGUGCAAAGAAAAACCAGGAGAAUUUUGUCUAUUGUUCGAAUCAUUACAAAUUGUGAAAAAGUUUCUUGGUAUUCUAUCAUUGAUUUUCACUUUAUAGAAUCAAGGGUCGUCUAACCUAGUUUAAUUAUUAGUUAACAAGAAAUUUUCUCAUAUACCGCCAAGCAAAACUCGCAGCAGUGCCAUAAUUUAAAAUUUUACUGUGUUUUUUAAAGUUUUAUUACAGGAUGGUUAGGCAUAAUCAAAAUGUUAAAAGUCAGGCAUCUGUGACCUAAAUUUAUGCAGGUCAUUCUAAGCGUCCCUCUGAAUUUAUACUAACAGAAAUGCUAUGUGAGAAUUUGAAAUUUUAGAAAAAUGCAAGUUUGGAAUAUAUCAUAUUUAGGUAUUUAUUUCUACAAACCAGACUAAUAGGUGACAGCUGCAUACAAGAAAAAACUUGAAGAAGUGAUGAAUGAAGGAUUAGAUGAAGAUGAAAGCAAUAAGAGGGUUGAUUUCUCGAAGGUGCUGGUCACCAGUUGCUGCUGAAGAGAUGUUUCAAGCUGGAGGAGAGAUCAACAGGGUGGGAGUGAGCAGUUGUGAGAGUCCACAAUUUUUCCACUUUCGAGGGGUGUGUCUGCUUUGUAAGGCAACUCUCAGUGCUUCAUCUUCUGAUAACUUGGCCUCUGCUGUACAGUAUUUUAUGUCUUCCUUGCUCUUUGCCGUGGUACUGUCUAUACCUCUUUCACGACGACUUUUACUAUACAGCUACCCAACUACAAGUCUCGGACUAGA